rnacentral:rRNA from 1 species
CAGUAGUAAAAUUAAAUCUAAACUAUCUUAUUAUGGCGGCAUCAUUAAUUUAAAGGAACUUGUUUUUUAAUCGAUAAUCCACGAUAAUUUUCACUUAAUUUUAAAAACUUAUAUACCUCCGUUUAUAAAAUCAUUCCAAUAAACUUAUUUGCAAUAAAAAAUAAAAAUCAGGUCAAGGUGUAGUCUAUCUUUAAGAAUAAAUGAGUUACAUUAAAAUUUAUUUAAGGAAUUCAACUAAAAUAAUUUUACGAAAAAGAAUUUAUAAAGUAAAUUAACAAUAAUAAUCUUAAUUUAAUUUCUCCACAAUGUGC